rnacentral:rRNA from 1 species
UACGAAGGGGGCUAGCGUUGUUCGGAAUUACUGGGCGUAAAGCGCACGUAGGCGGACAUUUAAGUCAGGGGUGAAAUCCCGGGGCUCAACCCCGGAACUGCCUUUGAUACUGGGUGUCUGGAGUCCGGAAGAGGUGAGUGGAAUUCCGAGUGUAGAGGUGAAAUUCGUAGAUAUUCGGAGGAACACCAGUGGCGAAGGCGGCUCACUGGUCCGGUACUGACGCUGAGGUGCGAAAGCGUGGGGAGCAAACGGG